CAUAUGUUCUUGUUUUUAUGGAACUGUACUCAAGACUCGUCUGGGAUAAAAUGUCAUCAGUAGCCUCUGAGAGAUGACUCAUGGCCCAGGUGAAAUUCAGGUCCAAGCUCUGGAGAGUGUGUGGGGACUGGUGAAAAGACAUGGUUUUAUUGUUAUCUGUUUAGUUCCUGCUGCGGAAGAUGAGACUCUCGCUCUCUUUGUCAUUUCCCCACAUGCACAGAAACACACAUAUUUCUACUUUUCUCAUCCUCUCAACAGGCUAUCAUAACUUUGGUUAAAUCAAUAGUCAGUGUUUGUAUAUUAUUAUUGGAUAAAUAUUACUUACAGUGGAACCCAUUUUGUGUAUGAUUAGAUAUUCUUUCUUGUAGAACUUUAUGUUUAUCCAGGAGUUAAUACUUAUCUGAUUAUUUUCAGUUGCUUAAUGUCCUAUACACCUGUUAUUAAUUUAUGCUGAACUCUCCAACAGAAACUGAAAUCUUGUCUUACUAUGUUUAAACACAUUGGGUAUUCUACAAGUUUCUUUUCUUAUUUAUGUAUAAUUCUCCUAGGGCUUUCCAUCUUCCUGCUCUAGUCUAAACUGGUUGUUCUCUAGGCCAGUGGCAAUGUUAUCAUCCUGAUAUUCUCCUUCACCAUCAGCCUGGGAGUUCUGUUGGUUUUUCUCCUGUAUGGAAUCCUCUAUUUCCUGUUAUUUUUAAAAACUUGGUGUCAACCCUAAUUUUCAUGGGUAUAUUUAUGCAAUAACUUUUCAGAAAAAGAUACAAAAAAAGCAACAUUUUUUUUCCUGUGAUUUUGCUUACUUGAAAAUAUCUUUAUUCCAUGGGUCAGCCAACUAUAGGCUGUAGGCUAAAAUCCUCCCAUUUUAGUGAAUAAGGUUUUAUUAGAAUACAGCCACAUCCAUUUGUUUACUUAUUAUAUAUUAUGCCACAAUGGAAGAUUUGAGAAAUUGCAAUAAAGAACAUUUAGAUGAUAAAAUCUACAACAUUUAUUAUCUGGACCUUUACGAAGCAAAUAUUUGCUAACACUUGCUUUAUUCUAUGUUCACACAAAAUUGUUAAUUUUGCUAGAUAUAGAAUUUUAAAGGGCUUUUUUUUUAUCUUCUAGCUUCCAGAGUGAAUGUUUAAUAGCCUUACAACAUUCUGAUUCCUAAUCCUUUAUAUAAAAACUGUUAUUUUGUUUGUUUUUGGAAGCUUCUGAAACCUUCUCCUUGUUCUUGGUAUGAACACUUGUUUUUCUAAUGCAAUAAACACAUGAUGAACCCACUCAACAUAAAAUCAAAC
rnacentral:lncRNA from 10 species